CAACAUUUUAAUCUAUUAUAUGAUAUUGUCUUAUUCUGUGGUGAUUAUGUUUAGUCAGCUGUUCAUAAUAUACAAUACUGAAUUUUAAUCACGUUAUUUACAGAGGGGCCAAAGCACUCAUCUACAGGUAAAGGCGCUCGGGUUUAAUGUGCACGUUCACAGCCCUGUGCAAGCACAACCAUUAUACACACUGUAAACAGCACAGGGCAUGUCGGUCUGCAGUCACCACUCUCACGGGAACGAGCAUACAGGCCUAGGGUAAGGUGCCUGGUUUUCUUUCUGAGGCAUAAUUCUCAACCGUGUGCUUCCCUCCUCACUCACUCCAAGUGCAGAGCCAGUGUUGGACCACCUCAGGAUCCCCUUGUGGAGACUGCCUGGUGACCUCUGAAUGUCCUUGAUGGAGGAAAACAGGCAAGAGUUCUUCACAGCUGGAUAGGUUUAAUGUGAGGCACCACCAUACAAAACCAUGGAACUAAAUUCUUGUACAGCUGAGAAACAGUUUAAAAUGCCUGAGCAAUGGCAGUCAGAGCUGAGCAGAGAUCAGGAAGGGCCGGGGGAGCUCGCAGCCCUGGAGGUUGGCCCAAGUGUUUCACGGUCCUCUUGCCUCCCUGUCCCAUGGACUUCAGUACUCCUCUUCCGUCUCACUCCCUCUCGUCUUCUUAUGGAUUGCCCGGUUAAAGCUAUGGCAGGCAGGUAACCAGUGAUUGUCAUGAAGGCCUAACUUACAGCCAGGAAAGCCCUUCUGAGACUGGUGGCAGCACAUCCAGUAGCCAGGCCCAUAUGGCAAAGCCUGGCAAUAGGGUUUGGGGUGCCACCGGCACAGGGACACAUCCCCUUUCACAUACUUUUUCUUGCACUGCUUGCAAGGGUCUUCCCUAUAGCGUGGGUCUCGAACCCACCGAGAAUCUGCUGGCCUGAUGUUGUAGUAUUCAAUGAUGGACUUGAAGUAGCGACAGGUACAUUUAAGAAUGGCUAAACUCAGGGUAGGGAGUAACCUGAAGAUUUUCACUAUGAUGUGGUGGGGCAGGCAUGCCAUGUACUGCUGAGGCUCCAGAAGCUGCUGGAUCUUAAACCUGGUCUCCAGAAAGUCCUGUGACACCUGCUUCUUGCACGUGGCUGCCUCAAGCACCUGCGAGGUGCUCCCUCCCGGAGAGGCUGCUGGGAGGAGCGGCUCCACAGAGGCAUCUUUCUCCUCACCUGCACUGCUGCCCUCAGCAGCAUCUUGAGGCUGACUGGCCUCUGAGGCCUCUGGUGCUGGGUGUUCCCUCAGCUGGGGGUGCGCUUGCUGGUCCUGUCCAGAUGACAGAAAGAAGAGCAUCCCGGGAAGAGGCUCCUCAAGGGAGUCUAAAGCCGCCGGCCGGUCUUUCUCUACCGUGCACACAGUGAUGCUGAUGCACAGCGGGUCCUGCCUCUGCUCAGGACUGUGCUUUGUGACUGUUACAAGCUCUCUUCUUAUGCGACGGACAGCAUCUGUAGGCAAUUCAUCAAAUUCCUCCACCAUUUCUACGUCAUCCCGGCUGCAGCUCUUCAUAGCUGUUUGCUGACCCGGCUCUAGAUCUGUGCUGUCCAUGUGGAAGCUCACAGUGGCUGGCAAUGAGGGACAGCUUUGAGAAGUGCCAUCCCAGGCCUGCUCCCCUACAGAAUGAUGCUCAGUUACGGAGGGUUCUUCACCCACAGAUACCGGCUGCAAGGGAUUCUCCUGAGGGUCGGCUGUGUCUGCAGAGCCCUCUUCACUUUUGUCGCUGGCCUGAGAACCAUUAGUGAGCAACACCCUGCCUACAUUUCGACGGAAACUGUUAUUGCGUGACAAGCUCCCGGGUUCCCGCUGGCCCUGGUGCUUCAGGCACUCAGACUCCAACCUGGCUACCAUGUCAAGGACACGGACUGGCUCACCCUGGGAUCUGCCAGUCUCGGGAUUUUCUUGUUCCUUGGGUUCUUCACAAGUUUCCGGAGCAGAGAAGGGCUCAGGUGCAGGCGGUAUACCUCGGGACUGGCCAGAAAUCUUCACAAUGGCAGGCGAAUUUGUGCAGUUUUUUGUGCAGCUAGCUAGCAGAGCAGUGGCCUUCUGCUCAAGGAAGGCAACCAUCUGUAUCACCGACAGAGGCCUCGCAGCACAGACACCGUCCCCGCUGUCACUCAUGUAGUGCACAGAACAGUGCUCCACGCCACACACAAACGGCUCAGACUGGUAGCACUGGCUGUUGAUCUCUCUCAUCAUUUCUAGCUGUAACUUGGCUUUCUUAAGAUCUCCUGAUUUUUUCCUUCUUUUAGUGGCUCUCCCAUCGAUAUCCCAGGAACUUUUAAUUUUCAUAGAGCCUAUCCUAUUGCUAUUUGGAGAAAGGAUCCCAAAAGGUUUUCUAGACGAUGCUUUGACAAGGGAGGCUGAAGGAAGGACGGUGGGUUUCAUGUAGCUGGCUCUGGCCUUCACAUCACCGUUGGCCUUUCCGUGGCUCAUAGGCGUUCUCAGGGUGUCCCUGCUGACCUCAAGAGGGCGCUCUUUCUUCUGGAGUUUCCAGUACAGCUUAAGGUGCAUAACAGAUGCCCUGGA
rnacentral:lncRNA from 1 species